CCUACGGGGGGCAGCAGUAGGGAAUCUUCGGCAAUGGGCGAAAGCCUGACCGAGCAACGCCGCGUGAAUGAAGAAGGCCUUCGGGUUGUAAAAUUCUGUUAUAAGGGAAGAAGGAAGUGACGGUACCUUAGGAGGAAGCCCCGGCUAACUACGUGCCAGCAGCCGCGGUAAUACGUAGGGGGCAAGCGUUAUCCGGAAUUAUUGGGCGUAAAGAGUACGUAGGCGGUUCUUUAAGCGUAGGGUCUAAGGCGAUGGCUUAACCAUCGUUCGCCCUGUGAACUGGAGGACUUGAGUAUCGGAGAGGAAAGCGGAAUUCCUAGUGUAGCGGUGAAAUGCGUAGAUAUUAGGAGGAACACCAGUGGCGAAGGCGGCUUUCUGGACGAAAACUGACGCUGAGGUACGAAAGCGUGGGGAGCAAACAGGAUUAGAUACCCUGGUAGUC
rnacentral:rRNA from 1 species